rnacentral:rRNA from 1 species
UUCCUACGGGGGGCAGCAGUGAGGAAUAUUGGUCAAUGGGCGCAAGCCUGAACCAGCCAUCCCGCGUGAAGGAAGAAGGCGCUAUGCGUUGUAAACUUCUUUUCCAGGGGAAUAAAAUUUUGUACGUGUACGGAAUUGAAGGUACCCUGGGAAUAAGCAUCGGCUAACUCCGUGCCAGCAGCCGCGGUAAUACGGAGGAUGCGAGCGUUAUCCGGAUUUAUUGGGUUUAAAGGGUGCGUAGGCGGACCAAUAAGUCAGUGGUGAAAACCUGCAGCUUAACUGUAGAAUUGCCAUUGAUACUGUUGGUCUUGAGUAUGGUCAAGGUAGGCGGAAUGUGUAAUGUAGCGGUGAAAUGCUUAGAUAUUACACAGAACACCGAUUGCGAAGGCAGCUUGCUGGGCCAUUACUGACGCUGAUGCACGAAAGCGUGGGGAUCGAACAGGAUUAGAUACCCUGGUAGUC